AUUGGACGCUGGCGGCAGGCCUAACACAUGCAAGUCGAGCGGUAACACAGGGAGCUUGCUCCCGGGUGACGAGCGGCGGACGGGUGAGUAAUGUCUGGGAAACUGCCUGAUGGAGGGGGAUAACUACUGGAAACGGUAGCUAAUACCGCAUAAUGUCGCAAGACCAAAGAGGGGGACCUUCGGGCCUCUUGCCAUCAGAUGUGCCCAGAUGGGAUUAGCUAGUAGGUGGGGUAACGGCUCACCUAGGCGACGAUCCCUAGCUGGGCUGAGAGGAUGACCAGCAACAAGGGAGCUGAGACACGGUCCAGACUCCUACGGGAGGCAGCAGUGGGGAAUAUUGCACAAUGGGCGCAAGCCUGAUGCAGCCAUGCCGCGUGUAUGAAGAAGGCCUUCGGGUUGUAAAGUACUUUCAGCGGGGAGGAAGGCGAUAAGGCUAAUAACCUUGUCGAUUGACGUUACCCGCAGAAGAAGCACCGGCUAACUCCGUGCCAGCAGCCGCCGCCG
rnacentral:rRNA from 1 species